AGUGGCUCAGUGGAAAGAGCCUGGGCUUUGGAGUCAGAGGUCAUGGGUUCAAAUCCCAGCU
rnacentral:tRNA from 1 species